GGAUUAGCAUCUCGAGGUUCUUUGUUGGGCAUAAAGAAAUCGUCUUGGUAGCCACCCACCAAACCAAUAGAACAAAGGUGAGCUCUGCUGCUAACAAGGUAAGUAGGUACAUUACCGACUUCUGACCGUAGAAACGACCUAACGGAGUAAUCCCUGAUCUCGAAUCGGAGAUGCUAACAGGACGGGAAUCGAAGUGGGGG
rnacentral:lncRNA from 1 species